rnacentral:rRNA from 1 species
UACGAAGGGGGCUAGCGUUGCUCGGAAUCACUGGGCGUAAAGCGCACGUAGGCGGAUCCUUAAGUCGGGGGUGAAAUCCUGGAGCUCAACUCCAGAACUGCCUUCGAUACUGAGGAUCUUGAGUCCGGGAGAGGUGAGUGGAACUGCGAGUGUAGAGGUGAAAUUCGUAGAUAUUCGCAAGAACACCAGUGGCGAAGGCGGCUCACUGGCCCGGUACGUGACGCUGAGGU